CAGUAGCCGCGGUAAUACGUAGGGUGCAAGCGUUAAUCGGAAUUACUGGGCGUAAAGCGUGCGCAGGCGGUUAUAUAAGACAGAUGUGAAAUCCCCGGGCUCAACCUGGGAACUGCAUUUGUGACUGUAUAGCUAGAGUACGGCAGAGGGGGAUGGAAUUCCGCGUGUAGCAGUGAAAUGCGUAGAUAUGCGGAGGAACACCGAUGGCGAAGGCAAUCCCCUGGGCCUGUACUGACGCUCAGGUGCGAAAGCGUGGGGAGCAAACAGGAUUAGAUACCCCUGUAGUCCCUGUCUCUUAUAC
rnacentral:rRNA from 1 species